GCGGCAGGCCUUAUACAUGCAAGUCGAGGGGCAGCAUUUACUUCGGUAAAUGGCGACCGGCGCACGGGUGAGUAACGCGUAUGCAACCUACCUUUAACUGGGGCAUAGCUCGAGGAAACUCGAAUUAAUUCCCCAUAGUACAUUAUAAUAUCUCAUGAUAUAAAUGUUAAAGAUUUAUCGGUUAAAGAUGGGCAUGCGUCUGAUUAGUUUGUUGGUAAGGUAACGGCUUACCAAGACUACGAUCAGUAGGGGGUCUGAGAGGAUGAUCCCCCACACUGGUACUGAGACACGGACCAGACAUCUACGGAUGGCAGCAGUAAGGAAUAUUGGGCAAUGGGCGCAAGCCUGACCCAGCCAUGCCGCGUGCAGGAUGACGACCCUAUGGGUUGUAAACUGCUUUUAUAUAGGAAGAAAAUACUCUUGCGAGAGGAUCUGACGGUACUAUAUGAAUAAGGACCGGCUAAC
rnacentral:rRNA from 1 species